UACGUAGGGUGCAAGCGUUGUCCGGAAUCACUGGGCGUAAAGGGCUCGUAGGCGGCCAACUAAGUCCGACGUGAAAUCCCCAGGCUUAACCUGGGAACUGCGUCGGAUACUGGAUGGCUUGAAUUCGGGAGAGGGAUGCAGAAUUCCAGGUGUAGCGGUGAAAUGCGUAGAUAUCUGGAGGAAUACCGGUGGCGAAGGCGGCAUCCUGGACCGACAUUGACGCUGAUGAGCGAAAGCUAGGGGAGCAAACGGG
rnacentral:rRNA from 1 species